CGUCUAGGCGGGUCGGUUAGUCGGAUGUGAAAUCCCACGGCUCAACCGUGGAAUUGCAUUUGAAACUGCCGGUCUUGAGUACGGAAGAGGAAAGCGGAAUUCCUGGUGUAGCGGUGAAAUGCGUAGAUAUCAGGAAGAACACCGGUGGCGAAGGCGGCUUUCUGGUCCGAUACUGACGCUGAAGCGCGAAAGUGUGGGGAGCAAACA
rnacentral:rRNA from 1 species